rnacentral:rRNA from 1 species
AGGCAGCAGUAGGGAAUCUUCCGCAAUGGACGAAAGUCUGACGGAGCAACGCCGCGUGUAUGAAGAAGGCCUUCGGGUUGUAAAGUACUGUUGUCAGGGAAGAAACGGGUAUAUGUGAAUAAUGUAUAUCCUUGACGGUACCUGACGAGGAAGCCCCGGCUAACUACGUGCCAGCAGCCGCGGUAAUACGUAGGGGGCAAGCGUUGUCCGGAAUCAUUGGGCGUAAAGGGCGCGUAGGCGGGCUUGUAAGUCUGAUGUGAAAGUGCGGAGCUUAACUCCGUAAAGCAUUGGAAACUGUGAGUCUUGAGGACAGGAGAGGAAAGUGGAAUUCCUAGUGUAGCGGUGAAAUGCGUAGAUAUUAGGAGGAACACCAGUGGCGAAGGCGACUUUCUGGACUGUAACUGACGCUGAGGCGCGAAAGCGUGGGGAGCAAACAGGAUUAGAUACCCCGGUAG